rnacentral:lncRNA from 1 species
UGCAUUUCGCUGCCCCAGUUUAUUCACCCUGGCUUGGCCCAGAGACCAGGUUCAACAUGCAAGGGUGAGACACAGAAGUCCCCAGGACCAUUGCUUCAGCCUCAGUCCCAAUACCCUUCACCCCCCCCACACCUGUCAGGGAUAGAACUCCUGAGAGGCAGGAAGAGUACCCGCAUUUUGCAGACAGGGAGACUCAGCAUCAUGCCUCUGCUCAUCUACCAGGAUCCUGCUUCCUCAUGGCUCCCAAAAGCAAAGCAGAGCCCCCGGCUGCUUUAGUCCUUGGUUGUCCCCAGAAUUCACCCACUCUCCGUUUCAUGGGAACCUGUCAACCCCCGCUGAAAGGGCCAUGCAGUGACCGAAGGGUGAUGACCCAGUAUCCUGAGAGUUUCCAGGGGCUGCGCUGCUGGCCCCCCUGUGCGCCCUGGAAGGCUGACCACGGCUCCUCUGGGCCCAGGCAGCCCGACCGCAGGAAAACAGGCCAACCGAAUCUGACUUCCCGCGACGCUAAAGCCGGAGGGGGACAGCAAGUAGAGGCACAGAGACGAAAGGGAGCUUUCCUUCCCCGGCAGUCUUGGAACACCUUGUCCGGCCCUCGCAGGCGCGUCAGCACAUUCGCUCUUAUCAGAAGCUUCAAUCUAUAUGACCUGCAACAGCUCCUUGGACGUGGAGAACAUGGAGAAGCUGGUUUGUCUCCAGGUGGUAGUUUAGAAUCCGCAUUCUCCUAGUCCUCACAGGGUCUGCGGCUGUCAUCUCCCCUCCCCAUCUCCCCCCCCCAUCUCCCCCGUGCCCUGAGGCAGAGUCCAAGGGGGACAGUCCUUUAUCUUCUCUGAUCCCCAUCCCCCCGUCCCUGCCCCAGUGGCCAUCACCACCCCCAGCGCCCCUCCCUCAUUCUAAGUCUCUACCAGUUGCCAAAACUGUGGCCAAAAAGCCGUGGCAGGCCGGAGCAGCCCCCACACCUCCCACAGCGACUCUACUAUCGGGGGACAAUGGCCCUAGUAGAGCAAAGUCAGAGGGAGAGAGCAGGGGGUGGCCUGGGAAACCUCAGGGGCCUGGGUCAUCCACACCCGCACAUAUGACUGCAGGCGCCCCUCCUCUGGACCGAUGGGACCCUGUGGAGAAAAGAAGGCUGGGGUUGGCGAUGGGAA